GGGAUGCGCAAUAGACUUACCUCCACGUGGUGCACCCUGGGCAACAUAUACUUAUACGGCAAAGAAGUCUAU
rfam:Hymenolepis nana genome assembly, scaffold: HNAJ_contig0004908